rnacentral:rRNA from 1 species
GAUGAACGCUAGCUACAGGCUUAACACAUGCAAGUCGAGGGACCGGCGCACGGGUGAGUAACACGUAUCCAACCUGCCCUUUACUCGGGGAUAGCCUUUCGAAAGAAAGAUUAAUACCCGAUAUAAAGGAUGGGGAUGCGUUCAAUUAGGUUGUUGGGGAGGUAACGGCCCACCAAGCCUUCGAUGGCUAGGGGUUCUGAGAGGAAGGUCCCCCGCAUUGGAACUGAGACACGGUCCAAACUCGUACGGUAGGCAGAAGGGAUGAGUAUUGUUCAAUGGGCGUUAGCCUGAACCAGCCAAGUAGCGUGAAGGAUGAAGGCUUAUGGGUCGUAAACUUCUUUGAUAUAAGAAUAUGUAUUAUAUGAAUAAGGAUCGGCUAACUCCGUGCCAGCAGCCGCGGUAAUUC